rnacentral:lncRNA from 1 species
GCAGGCUUCGGGUGGACAAGUCUGAGGUUACUGCAGCUCCUUCCUGAGAGCUUCGGGUUCUCGUAUUUGUCUUCUCUACCUUUGCUCGUCCAGCUGUCUUUCAAUUUGCUUUGCCCAUACGUUCUCCAGAGUCACUGCUGCUUAGUUUGACCCUAGAAAAACUGACUUGACAGAUGACAUGUUUAAGUCACGCCUGCCAAGAAGUAUGAUCUGAAUGAACUUAACUCAUACAAGUUUUUAAAUGCAUUUAACCUAAGUUAUCAGAUGUCUACAAUUAUUUGUAACCUAAGGGGCUCAUGACACCAAAGGGGAGGGAUAAAAUGUGGAGGCCUCAAAUGCUGUAAUAUCCCAUUACUGUAUAAUUAUUCGUAUGAAAUCAUUCACGUGCUGGCAGCCCCUAAGGAAGCAAAAACCAGGGACUUUGCCAUUUGCCACCAUGCAGCAGACGACCAAAUUAUUUCUCGGAGCUUUGAAGUAUAGCAUUCCUCAUCUUGGGAAAUGCAUGCCGAAACAGAAUUACUGUAACGUCGCUGACCCUUAUUACAAUAGACUAAGAUUGAAAAACUAUCGGCUAACCAAGUGUCUGCAGAAUAAACCCAAGAUAUCAGAAUUAGCACGAAACAUCCCAAGUCGGAGCUUCUCACGUAAGGAUCUUCUGCCUGUUAAGCCAGAGAGUGAAAAUUCCAUUUCUGAAGACAUGGAUGCAUUUGAAAAAGUGAGGACAAGGCUAGAAA